AGGGCUAUAGCUCAGCGGUAGAGCAUCUCGCUUACACCAAGAGUGUCUACGGUUCAAAUCCGUAUAGCCCUA
rnacentral:tRNA from 1 species